AUUGAACGCUGGCGGCAGGCCUAACACAUGCAAGUCGAGCGAGCGGCGGACGGGUGAGUAAUGUAUGGGGACUGCCCGAUCGAGGGGGAUAACUACUGGAAACGGUAGCUAAUACCGCAUACUCUCGGCUAACCCCUAUGGGAUUAGCUAGUAGGUGAGGUAAUGGCCCACCUAGGCGACGAUCCCUAGCUGGUCUGAGAGGAUGAUCAGCGACACGGGGACUGAGACAAGGCCCAGACGCCUACGGAGGCAGCAGUGGGGAAUAUGGCACAAUGGGCGCAAGCCUGAUGCAGCCAUGCCGCGUGUAUGAAGAAGGCCCUAGGGUUGUAAAGUACUUGCAGUCGGGAGGCGUUACCGACAGAAGAAGCACCGGCUAACUCCGUGCCAGCCGCCGCGGUAAUAC
rnacentral:rRNA from 1 species